AGCCUCUUUAACGCACCGACAUUUAUGUUGAUGAAAUGUUUCAAGUAUUUCAGUGAAGCUUUGUUGCUAUCUAGUUGUAAACAAUAUUUUUAAAUUGUUUCGCUUAAUAAUUUCCUAAUCGAACACAAAUCUUCGAAAAACUGUUUUAAGAAGGGAUAAUAGAAAUGAAUAUAAAAAAUUUUAUACAAUGUUUAUUGGUACUUAAAGUUUAAAAAAAAUAUUUUUUAAUUUUUCUUUACAAAA